GACAACACGACGAGGCUGAGCAGGAGAUGGCGUCAAGGCCGUCAGCGCAGGGCACGGUCAAUGCAGGGCAGAGAUCUGGUGAGGUGCCGCGCGCAAUGGAGGGCAGCUGCAGCGACAACACAGAGCGGCGGCUAGCACAGACGUGGUGGCGGUGGUAUUGGACAACAGAGAACAGGGAGGAGAGUGAGGUGGCAGCUCGCGAAACGUCAUCUGGCAGGCGAGGAGACACUGCCGGUGGUGCGGGUACAGCACCACGACGAGCAGAGAUACUGAAGACAUGUUUUUGCGAGCAACAAAGCAACAGGUCAUGGCAGAAGUCUAGCGUGAAGGGAGGAGCGCG
rnacentral:misc_RNA from 1 species